UACGGGAGGUGCAAGCGUUGUUCGGAGUGACUGGGCGUAAAGCGCACGUAGGCGGGCUUGUAAGUCGGAUGUGAAAGCCCCGGGCUUAACCUGGGAACAGCAUCCGAAACUAUAAGUCUUGAAUGCUUCAGAGGUUGGUAGAAUUCCAGGUGUAGGAGUGAAAUCCGUAGAUAUCUGGAGGAAUACCGGAGGCGAAGGCGGCCAACUGGGAAUGCAUUGACACUGAGGUGCGAAAGCGUGGGGAGCAAACAGG
rnacentral:rRNA from 1 species